UUCAGUCACAUUUUUAAAUUUGUCCUCCAGUUUUUGGAUCAUGAGACUGACACUUGAACACUGUGUUCCAUGGUACUCAUUCACACUUCUAGUUAAUGAGUAAAAAUAUAGCCAUAGACAUAG